rnacentral:rRNA from 1 species
CUGGUAUGUACUGGUGUUAUUGGUUUCUCCCUUCUGAUGAACCAUGAUGUCAUUAAUUUGGUGUUGUGGGGAGUCAGGACUGUUACUUUGAAAAAAUUAGAGUGUCUAAAGCAGGCAAACGCUUGAAUACAUUAGCAUGGAAUAAUGAAAUAGGACGUUCGAACCUAUUUUGUUGGUUUCUAGGUACAACGUAAUGAUUAAUAGGGAUAGUUGGGGGCAUUAGUAUUCAAUUGUCAGAGGUGAAAUUCUUGGAUUUAUUGAAGACUAACUACUGCGAAAGCAUUGCCAAGGAUGUUUUCAUUAAUCAAGAACGAAAGUUAGGGGAUCGAAGACGAUCAGAUACCGUCGUAGUCUUAACCAUAAACUAUGCCGACUAGGGAUCGGAUGAAGUUAAUUUUUUAAUGACUCA